rnacentral:piRNA from 1 species
AUGGGCAGAUGAAAUUGGGCUGUGGUGGGU